CGCCUAUACAUGCAAGUCGAACGAAGUAGCAAUACUUAGUGGCAGACGGGUGAGUAGCAUGUAGGUAUCUUCCCAUUGGUGAGGAAUAACACGAGGAAACUUGUGCUAAUACCUCAUAAGUCUUUACGGAGAAAGCUUUAUGCGCCGAUGGAUGAGCCUGCACUUGAUUAGUUUGUUGGUAGGGUAAUGGCCUACCAAGACAAUGAUCAAUAGCUGAUUUGAGAGGAUGAUCAGCCACAUUGGGACUGAGACACGGCCCAAACUCCUACGGGAGGCAGCAGUAGGGAAUCUUGCACAAUGGGGGAAACCCUGAUGCAGCGAUGCCGCGUGAGUGAAGAAGGCCUUUGGGUUGUAAAGCUCUUUCGUCGGGGAAGAAAAUGACUGUACCCGAAUAAGAAGGUCCGGCUAACUUCGUGCCAGCAGCCGCGGUAAUACGAAGGGACCUAGCGUAGUUCGGAAUUACUGGGCUUAAAGAGUUCGUAGGUGGUUGAAAAAGUUGGUGGUGAAAUCCCAGAGCUUAACUCUGGAACUGCCAUCAAAACUUUUCAGCUAGAGUUUGAUAGAGGAAAGCAGAAUUUCUAGUGUAGAGGUGAAAUUCGUAGAUAUUAGAAAGAAUACCGAUUGCGAAGGCAGCUUUCUGGAUCAUUACUGACACUGAGGAACGAAAGCAUGGGUAGCGAAGAGGAUUAGAUACCCUCGUAGUCCAUGCCGUAAACGAUGUGUGUUAGACGUUGGAAAUUUAUUUUCUGUGUCGCAGCGAAAGCGAUAAACACACCGCCUGGGGAGUACGACCGCCAGGUUAAAACUCAAAUGAAUUGACNGGGACCCGCACAAGUAGUGGAGCAUGUGGUUUAAUUCGAAGAUACGCGCAGAACCUUACCAACACUUGACAUGUUCGUCGCGACUUUAAGAGAUU
rnacentral:rRNA from 1 species